rnacentral:rRNA from 1 species
GAGUAGUAAAAGCUAGUAUCUUUAAACUCAAAAAAUUUGGCGGUAUUUUAUCUUAUUAGAGGGGCCUGUUUAAUAAUUGAUAAUCCACAAUUGUAUUUACUUUUAUUAUUAUAUUUGUAUACCGCUGUCAUGAGUCUAUUAAAAAAUUUAUUUUAUUAUUUUUAUGUAAUAAAUGUUAGGUCAAGGUGCAGUUUAUAAAGAAAAAAUGGGUUACAUUAAGUAUUAUGAAUGUUUUUUAAAAAAGGAUUUAAAAGUAAAAUUAUACAAAAAUUAUAUGAAUAAAGAUUCUAAAAUAUG